rnacentral:rRNA from 1 species
AAUGGGCGAAAGCCUGAUGCAGCGACGCCGCGUGCGGGAAGAAGGCCUUCGGGUUGUAAACCGCUUUCAACAGGGAAGAAGGAAUGAGGGCUAAUACCCCUCUGCCUUGACGGUACCUGUAGAAGAAGCUCCGGCUAAUUUCGUGCCAGCAGCCGCGGUAAUACGAAAGGAGCAAGCGUUGUUCGGAUUUACUGGGCGUAAAGCGAGCGUAGGUGGUUUGUUAAGUCGGGUGUGAAAUCCCAGGGCUCAACCCUGGAACUGCACUCGAUACUGGCAGGCUAGAGUUCGGGAGGGGGGUGGAAUUCCACGUGUAGCAGUGAAAUGCGUAGAGAUGUGGAGGAACACCGAUGGCGAAGGCAGCCCCCUGGGUCGGCACUGACGCUCAUGCACGAAAGCGUGGGGAGCAAA